rnacentral:sRNA from 1 species
AAAUAUUUGUCCCACAAAUACAUAAUCUUCU